rnacentral:rRNA from 1 species
AUUGAACGCUGGCGGCAUGCCUUACACAUGCAAGUCGAACGGCAGCACGGGUGCUUGCACCUGGUGGCGAGUGGCGAACGGGUGAGUAAUACAUCGGAACAUGUCCUGUAGUGGGGGAUAGCCCGGCGAAAGCCGGAUUAAUACCGCAUACGAUCCACGGAUGAAAGCGGGGGACCUUCGGGCCUCGCGCUAUAGGGUUGGCCGAUGGCUGAUUAGCUAGUUGGUGGGGUAAAGGCCUACCAAGGCGACGAUCAGUAGCUGGUCUGAGAGGACGACCAGCCACACUGGGACUGAGACACGGCCCAGACUCCUACGGGAGGCAGCAGUGGGGAAUUUUGGACAAUGGGCGAAAGCCUGAUCCAGCAAUGCCGCGUGUGUGAAGAAGGACUUCGGGUUGUAAAGCACUUUUAUCCGGAAAGAAAUCCUUGACUCUAAUACAGUCGGGGGAUGACGGUACCGGAAGAAUAAGCACCGGCUAACUACGUG